UACGUAGGUGGCAAGCGUUGUCCGGAUUUAUUGGGUUUAAAGGGUGCGUAGGCGGUUCUAUAAGUCAGUGGUGAAAUCCGGCAGCUCAACUGUCGAUGUGCCAUUGAUACUGCAGAACUUGAGUACAGACGAGGUAGGCGGAAUUGACGGUGUAGCGGUGAAAUGCUUAGAGAUCGGGAGGAACACCAGAGGCGAAGGCGGCGACCUGGAUAGGUACUGACACUCAACUACGAAAGCGUGGGGAGCAAACAGG
rnacentral:rRNA from 1 species